CGCUAGCUACAGGCUUAACACAUGCAAGUUGAGGGGCAGCAUGGUCUUAGCUUGCUAAGGCCGAUGGCGACCGGCGCACGGGUGAGUAACACGUAUCCAACCUGCCGUCUACUCUUGGACAGCCUUCUGAAAGGAAGAUUAAUACAAGAUGGCAUCAUGAGUCCACAUGUUCACAUGAUUAAAGGUAUUCCGGUAGACGAUGGGGAUGCGUUCCAUUAGAUAGUAGGCGGGGUAACGGCCCACCUAGUCUUCGAUGGAUAGGGGUUCUGAGAGGAAGGUCCCCCACAUUGGAACUGAGACACGGUCCAAACUCCUACGGGAGGCAGCAGUGAGGAAUAUUGGUCAAUGGGCGAGAGCCUGAACCAGCCAAGUAGCGUGAAGGAUGACUGCCCUAUGGGUUGUAAACUUCUUUUAUAAAGGAAUAAAGUCGGGUAUGCAUACCCGUUUGCAUGUACUUUAUGAAUAAGGAUCGGCUAACUCCGUGCCAGCAGCCGCGGUAAUACGGAGGAUCCGAGCGUUAUCCGGAUUUAUUGGGUUUAAAGGGAGCGUAGAUGGAUGUUUAAGUCAGUUGUGAAAGUUUGCGGCUCAACCGUAAAAUUGCAGUUGAUACUGGAUAUCUUGAGUGCAGUUGAGGCAGGCGGAAUUCGUGGUGUAGCGGUGAAAUGCUUAGAUAUCACGAAGAACUCCGAUUGCGAAGGCAGCCUGCUAAGCUGCAACUGACAUUGAGGCUCGAAAGUGUGGGUAUCAAACAGGAUUAGAUACCCUGGUAGUCCACACGGUAAACGAUGAAUACUCGCUGUUUGCGAUGUACAGCAAGCGGCCAAGCGAAAGCGUUAGGUAUUCCACCUGGGGAGUACGCCGGCAACGGUGAAACUCAAAGGAAUUGACGGGGGCCCGCACAAGCGGAGGAACAUGUGGUUUAAUUCGAUGAUACGCGAGGAACCUUACCCGGGCUUAAAUUGCAGAUGAAUUACGGUGAAAGCCGUAAGCCGCAAGGCAUCUGUGAAGGUGCUGCAUGGUUGUCGUCAGCUCGUGCCGUGAGGUGUCGGCUUAAGUGCCAUAACGAGCGCAACCCUUGUUGUCAGUUACUAACAGGUCAUGCUGAGGACUCUGACAAGACUGCCAUCGUAAGAUGUGAGGAAGGUGGGGAUGACGUCAAAUCAGCACGGCCCUUACGUCCGGGGCUACACACGUGUUACAAUGGGGGGUACAGAGGGCCGCUACCACGCGAGUGGAUGCCAAUCCCAAAAACCUCUCUCAGUUCGGACUGGAGUCUGCAACCCGACUCCACGAAGCUGGAUUCGCUAGUAAUCGCGCAUCAGCCACGGCGCGGUGAAUACGUUCCCGGGCCUUGUACACACCGCCCGUCAAGCCAUGGGAGCCGGGGGUACCUGAAGUGCGUAACCGCGAGGAGCGCCCUAGGGUAAAACUGGUGACAG
rnacentral:rRNA from 1 species